rnacentral:tRNA from 1 species
GUCCUUGUAGCUUACACUCAAAGCAUAGCACUGAAGAUGCUAAGACGUUGCUUUUUGCAUCCAGGGACA